rnacentral:lncRNA from 1 species
GUGUUCAUUUACCUUUGCAUGAGUGCUUAAAAUACAUAUUUCUGUUUCAAGAUGACAUUUAAAAAUUAUUCUAAUAUAUCAGCAGCAAAAAUAUAAUUUGCAAUUACAAAAAACUAAACUAGAAUCCUUUAUUCUCAUGUUUACAGUUGUGAUUUUUUAAUAAAUACUACUAUUAUGCAGCUCUAUUGUUUAAGCUUUCUGGAUUUGGCUUAAACACAUGCACAUAUAUUGUCAAUUGUGGGAAGCUUUACAAGUUAUAUUCCAUGCACUUUUUGGACAGAUUCAUCUUAAAAAUUUAAGAAGGUGGACAUUUCAACACCAUCAAGUGCAUUUAGGUGACAUGUUUAAGUUAACUUGACUUCCUUGAAUGACCUAGUUAGUAAACUAGUCACUAGUAAUUCGGUCACCAGGCAAAUCAAGCCUGCAAGAAAGGAAGC